UACGAAGGAUCCAAGCGUUGUCCGGAUUUACUGGGUUUAAAGGGUGCGUAGGCGGACUCUUAAGUCAGUGGUGAAAGCUUGCAGCUUAACUGUAAAAUUGCCAUUGAAACUGAGAGUCUCGAGUGCGGUUGAGGUCACUGGAAUGUAUCAUGUAGCGGUGAAAUGCUUAGAUAUGAUACAGAACACCAAUUGCGAAGGCAGGUGACUAAACCGUAACUGACGCUGAGGCACGAAAGCGUGGGGAUCAAACAGG
rnacentral:rRNA from 1 species